AAAAAAAAAAAAAAAAAAAAAAACUGAAUAAUAAGCAGUAGGGACAAAAUGGUAAUUUGGUAGCUUCACAAGGCUUUGUGUUCCAGUUCCCCUCCUCUUCCAAGUUGCGAGUUGCAACCAAAAAUACCACACACAGUAUACACACACCUUUCUCCACUCUGUAUACUCACUGCCCUGCACAACCGAGGGUCUCCAAAACCUUCGCAACAGAGACUUCGAACAUGUGGUGUUGUGGGGGGGGGGGGGGUCCCAAAAGUAAUGAGAGAAGCUCAGUAGUGUCUUGCACACGUCUUUAACUACUUUAGUAAGGAGGAUCUUGUAAAGGCUGGAUGACCCUACAAUGGUGUGGGUCAAUGGCUUGAGAUACACCAUUGUCUUCCUCAGAGUGUUGAUACAGAUUCUGCAAACUUAUUCAUAAUGCAUGCAUGUGUAUGGAGAAAAUAAUGGAUGUUCAUUGUGGAAGCUUGACACAUAAGGACCAGAGAACCGUGAAACAAGUACUUUUACCAUGUUAUGGUUAAAGACAAUUGCAUUGAUAUGCAUGUUGCAAGAAUUUCAAUAUUCUUUGUAAGAGUACAAAUGUAUUCUUUGGUUGACGGAGAUUUGGAGCAUGUGUGCCUCUGGUGAAUUUUGGAAUGUUAUACAAGGGUGGAGUUGAGUAAGGACUAGAGAGUCGUGAAACAAGUUUACCAUGUUAUGGUUUAAGACGAUUGCAUUGAUAUGCAUGUUGGUGGAGUUGAGCUCGUCUUUCUUUUGGUACAUGGGAUGUCAAGGUCACUUCGUCAACUUGUUGGAUGAAGAUGAAAUAUAAUAUGCACAAUAUAUGAUGUGAAGGUGUGUUUGGAGCGUGAUUUAGGCUUGCAUGUCAGUGACAUGUCCAGUUGGGCAUAAAAGAGCCCAUACCAUGCAGCCCUUUUGUUGCCUUUGGGGAUCAAAAUAGAAGCAGUUAAACUACAGUCCCUUCACAUUUGUCAGCUGAGAAUGGUUUCUUCCUGAUAAAAUUGCUUUCAUAUGAACUUACUAUAUAUUUCAUCAAUAGAUGACAAUUUGAUGAAGUUGCUCAUCCAUUUCUUUUUGGCAGGAUGAUACAGAUGACCCAAAACAAAGCACUGCUGAUAUGACUGCUUUUGUACAAAAUCUUCUUCAACAGAUGGUGAGUUUGUUAUUCAUUUGUGAUGUUUUAUUUGAAAUGAAGUUCAAUGGACUGUGUGGCUUAUGUUUUGAGAUUUGCAGCAAUCCAGGUUCCAGACAAUGUCCGACUCCAUCAUUACAAAGAAUAUCCUUUUGUUCUUUGGCUUACUAAUUUCAAAAUUGAUCAUUAUAUUAUUCUACUCUGAUUUUACAAAGUAUUUUAUUGUAGCUUAGUUUUAUGAUAUUAGAGAGCAAAAUUAUUAAGUUGGUGCUGGCAUUUGAAUUUGGUCCAUUUGGCUGUCCUAGAUUUCUGUUCUGCUUGCUUGGUAGCGUAUGAGAACAUCACAUAAGAAUCUUGAGGAAUGUUUUAGAUUAUGAUUAAUCCAAUCAUCUUUAGUUUUUGUCUGUCAAAUUCUUCAGUUGGUGGACUUUGUGAUUGGUGAUACCUGUCAUAUUUAGACUUGAUUAGUAAGGUAAGAUAUGUUCUUUUAAUUGUUGUGGGAAGCAUGUUUGUUUGACCCUUAUCCAUUUGUUUAUCACAUAUGACUUAUUCUAUGCACAUUGCGCGGGACUUGUAACUUCAUAGAUCGCAUUGCUUUGGAUUAAGCUGGUUCUUGUUUCCUUGACCUUGAUGCACUUGAUGAGAUGGGCAGCAGGAUCGACGAGCUGGAGCAGAGCAUCAAUGAC
rnacentral:sRNA from 1 species